rnacentral:rRNA from 1 species
GAUCAUGGCUCAGAUUGAACGCUGGCGGCGUAGCUUAACACAUGCAAGUCGCGCGUGAAAGGACUUCGGUCCGAGUAAAGCGGCGCACGGGUGAGUAACGCGUGGAUGAUCUACCCAUGAGUUAGGAAUAACGGCUGGAAACGGUCGCUAAUACCAAAUACGCUCCGAUUUCAUCUUCGGGGGAAAGGUGGCCUCUGCUUGCAAGCUACUGCUCAUGGAUGAGUCCGCGUCCCAUUAGCUAGUUGGUGGGUAACGGCCCACCAAGGCGACGAUGGGUAGCCGGUCUGAGAGGAUGACCGGCCACACUGGGACUGGAACACGGCCCAGACUCCUACGGGAGGCAGCAGUGGGGAAUAUUGCGCAAUGGGCGAAAGCCUGACGCAGCGACGCCGCGUGAGGGAUGAAGGUCCUCGGAUCGUAAACCUCUGUCAGGAGGGAAGAACCGCCACGGUGCUAAUCAGCCGUGGUCUGACGGUACCUCCAAAGGAAGCACCGGCUAACUCCGUGCCAGCCGCCGC